UACGUAGGGGCUAGCGUUAUCCGGAAUUACUGGGCGUAAAGGGUGCGUAGGUGGUUUCUUAAGUCAGAGGUGAAAGGCUACGGCUCAACCGUAGUAAGCCUUUGAAACUGGGAAACUUGAGUGCAGGAGAGGAGAGUGGAAUUCCUAGUGUAGCGGUGAAAUGCGUAGAUAUUAGGAGGAACACCGAUGGCGAAGGCAGGUCUCUGGGCCACUACUGACGCUGAGAAGCGAAAGCAUGGGGAGCGAACAGGAUUAGAUACCCGUGUAGUCCCUGAG
rnacentral:rRNA from 1 species